rnacentral:rRNA from 1 species
UACAGAGGCCUCAAGCGUUGUUCGGAUUCAUUGGGCGUAAAGGGUGCGUAGGCGGCGCGGUAAGUCGGGUGUGAAAUCUCGGAGCUUAACUCCGAAACUGCAUUCGAUACUGCCGUGCUUGAGGACUGGAGAGGAGACUGGAAUUUACGGUGUAGCGGUGAAAUGCGUAAAUAUCGUAAGGAAGACCAGUGGCGAAGGCGGGUCUCUGGACAGUUCCUGACGCUGAGGCACGAAGGCCAGGGGAGCAAACGGG